rnacentral:rRNA from 1 species
AGUGCGAAUGCUGACAUGAGUAACGAUAAGGGGGGUGAAAAACCUCCCCGCCGGAAGAUCAAGGUUUCCUGUCCAACGCUAAUCGGGACAGGGUGAGUCGGCCCCUAAGGCGAGGCAGAGAUGCGUAGUCGAUGGGAAGCAGGUUAAUAUUCCUGCACUUCUUUAUAUUGCGAUGGGGGGACGGAGAAGGCUAGGCCAGCGCGGCGAUGGUUGUCCGCGUUUAAGGUUGUAGGCUGGUGACUUAGGUAAAUCCGGGUUGCUAAGGCCGAGAACUGAUGACGAGCUUCGAGCGAAAGCGACAAGUGAAGUGGUCGAUGCCAUGCUUCCAGGAAAAGCCUCUAAGCUUC